rnacentral:lncRNA from 1 species
AGUCUCCUAAGGGCUGAGAUUACAGGGAACCAUCACUUUCUUCCAGGGACAACAUACAAAUGAGAAUGGAGAAGUGCCUAGGAAAGAGGAGGGAGAAACCCACCGGGCACACAGGAGCUCCAAGGAUAAGUGAGGGGUUGCCCCACUAGCUGGGCAGCACCACAGGUCAAUCACAGCCUUGGCACCAGGAAUGAUUAAUCUGGGUCCUGGGAGGAAAGGGCACAUUCAGGAGACAGACCCACCAUCUGGACUGAGGCCACCAGUUCCCUGUCCACACUCAUCAACCCUGCACAUCGGUAAGACAGUAACUUGGAGAGUAUCUUCGCUGCUUCUCAAGGUACUCUGACAUUCCCAACUAAGCUUUUCUUCCAAAGCAGUCUUCCCUGUUUCAGUUCUCAAGGGGGAAGAGUAAGGUUGGGCUCAC